ACAAAUUGUCUGAUUCAUUUUGAUUAAGUUUCCUUCCUCUUAAUCUAGAAGUUAUUCUCAGAUACAAGGAAAUUAUUCCAGUAAAUCUUUCAGUUCC